rnacentral:tRNA from 1 species
UGCGGGUUAGUGUAACGGAUGCAUAGUGGCCUCAUGAACCACAGGAAGGGUUCGAAUCCUCUACCCGCAU